GACAGAUGAAGAAGAAGCAACAAAAUACAAGGAGGCUGCAGAGCUUGUAUUAAACAGCGAGUGUCAAAAACAAGUCUUAAAUUCCACACAAGCUUAGUCAGACCGUGGUUAUCUGCUGGCUCAGAAAAUCAUUUACAACCGUGCGUCAUGUUAUUUGAAAAUGCCGUGCUAAUUUAUUGAUCCGAUGGUAAACAUCAUAAUAUUGUACGUGUUGAAAAAAAGGUUAACAAACUGCAAACCAGGUUGUGUUUUGAAGAGCGGAAAAAGAGAGCGUGAUCUCUGGCUUUUGUAGGUCAUAAACUGCAAGUAGUACAUUGCGGGAGGCUAUACAAACUCGAAUCACAGUUGUCCUCGUAGGGCUUACCGGGUUUACAUUUUUAUGCUUAUAAGUGCUUUGCGUCUAACCUACAAGCAGUGCCAACAUGUCUUCAAUCUCGUGUUACACGGUAGGAUAUUUGCAGAUCACAUUAUUGAUAGGAAUUAUAAGCCUCACUUUUGGUGUUGAGGUCCAUUUUGAAACACCAGAUAGUGGAUUCUUUCUGAAGCAUUCUCCGCGACAAAGUGCUUUAGCAUCUGUGGUAUCGGCUGCAA